rnacentral:tRNA from 1 species
GGGCCUGUAGCUCAUCUGGUAGAGCGCAGCAUUCGCAUUGCUGAGGCAAGGGGUUCGAGUCCCCUCAGGUCCACCA